UUUCCGUAGGUGAGCCUGCGGAAGGACCAUUAUUGUAUAACCGAUGUGCGAGGGCUGUCGUGCAUAUGACUGGAUGUGCAUGCCCGAGUGCCCUCAUACCUGUCCAUUACACCCCUGUGAGCAACACCGCGUGAGUCUCCCUUUGGCUUGUUCGGAGGGGGGAAUCCGUCUUCACACAAACUCUGUAUGCAGUGUACAAUGUAUUAUUUGUUUGUGCGAUCACGCAAUCAAUACAACUUUCAUCAUUGGAAAUCUUGGUUCCUGCAUCGUUGAAGAACU
rnacentral:misc_RNA from 1 species